UACGGAGGGGGCAAGCGUUGUUCGGAAUUACUGGGCGUAAAGGGCGCGCAGGCGGCUGCUCAAGUCAGGCGUGAAAGGCCUGGGCUCAACCCGGGAAUUGCGCUUGAGACUGGGCUGGCUUGAGUGCGGGAGAGGAUGGUGGAAUUCCCAGUGUAGAGGUGAAAUUCGUAGAUAUUGGGAAGAACACCGGUGGCGAAGGCGGCCAUCUGGACCGCAACUGACGCUGAGACGCGAAAGCGUGGGGAGCGAACAGG
rnacentral:rRNA from 1 species